rnacentral:rRNA from 1 species
GACGAACGCUGGCGGCGUGCCUAAUACAUGCAAGUAGAACGCUGAAGGAGGAGCUUGCUUCUCUGGAUGAGUUGCGAACGGGUGAGUAACGCGUAGGUAACCUGCCUGGUAGCGGGGGAUAACUAUUGGAAACGAUAGCUAAUACCGCAUAACAGUAGAUGUUGCAUGACAUUUGCUUAAAAGGUGCAAUUGCAUCACUACCAGAUGGACCUGCGUUGUAUUAGCUAGUUGGUGGGGUAACGGCUCACCAAGGCGACGAUACAUAGCCGACCUGAGAGGGUGAUCGGCCACACUGGGACUGAGACACGGCCCAGACUCCUACGGGAGGCAGCAGUAGGGAAUCUUCGGCAAUGGACGGAAGUCUGACCGAGCAACGCCGCGUGAGUGAAGAAGGUUUUCGGAUCGUAAAGCUCUGUUGUAAGAGAAGAAUGAGUGUGAGAGUGGAAAGUUCACACUGUGACGGUAUCUUACCAGAAAGGGACGGCUAACUACGUGCCAGCAGCCGCGGUAAUACGUAGGUCCCGAGCGUUGUCCGGAUUUAUUGGGCGUAAAGCGAGCGCAGGCGGUUAGAUAAGUCUGAAGUUAAAGGCUGUGGCUUAACCAUAGUACGCUUUGGAAACUGUUUAACUUGAGUGCAAGAGGGGAGAGUGGAAUUCCAUGUGUAGCGGUGAAAUGCGUAGAUAUAUGGAGGAACACCGGUGGCGAAAGCGGCUCUCUGGCUUGUAACUGACGCUGAGGCUCGAAAGCGUGGGGCGCAAACAGGAUUAGAUACCCUGGUAGUCCACGCUGUAAACGAUGAGUGCUAGGUGUUAGACCCUUUCCGGGGUUUAGUGCCGCAGCUAACGCAUUAAGCACUCCGCCUGGGGAGUACGACCGCAAGGUUGAAACUCAAAGGAAUUGACGGGGGCCCGCACAAGCGGUGGAGCAUGUGGUUUAACUCGAAGCAACGCGAAGAACCUUACCAGGUCUUGACAUCCCUCUGACCGCUCUAGAGAUAGAGUUUUCCUUCGGGACAGAGGUGACAGGUGGUGCAUGGUUGUCGUCAGCUCGUGUCGUGAGAUGGUGGGUUAAGUCCCGCAACGAGCGCAACCCCUAUUGUUAGUUGCCAUCAUUCAGUUGGGCACUCUAGCGAGACUGCCGGUAAUAAACCGGAGGAAGGUGGGGAUGACGUCAAAUCAUCAUGCCCCUUAUGACCUGGGCUACACACGUGCUACAAUGGCUGGUACAACGAGUCGCAAGCCGGUGACGGCAAGCUAAUCUCUUAAAGCCAGUCUCAGUUCGGAUUGUAGGCUGCAACUCGCCUACAUGAAGUCGGAAUCGCUAGUAAUCGCGGAUCAGCACGCCGCGGUGAAUACGUUCCCGGGCCU